GGGUCGUUAGCUCAGUCGGUAGAGCAGCGGACUUUUAAUCCGUUGGUCCCGCGUUCAAGUCGCGGACGACCCACCA
rnacentral:tRNA from 2 species